rnacentral:lncRNA from 1 species
GGUUAAGGCAAAAUAGACAAACAACUUGAUUUGAUCAAGGUGACAUAAACACAUGCUCAAUAACAACUUGCACAGAGAGAGUAAUAUGUCAAUAUAUGAAACUAGCGAACACAUGAUGAAAACUAAUGAAAAAGGCUUUUUUUGUUUAUUGAUUUUAUUUGUACAACUUUCUAGCUAUUUAAUAGUGGUGCAAAUAAGCAUCAAAUAUUCGAAUAUUCUCCUACAAAAUGUUAAUAACAAUUCCACAUUUUGUAUGACAUAGAGUAUUGUACUACCCUCAAAUUUGCGCUUAACUGUUCGCUGAGCAUUAUGUAUAAAAAAAAAAAUUGAACUAAUCAUAGCAUCACAUUAAAAUAAUGUAUGAAAGUAUUUUUUACUUUUCCUGUAGUGCAUGUUUGGCUGUGUCAGAAGAAAAAAUAUGCAGAAAACUAAUUUCUAAUAUGGAUUUUGACACCAUGUAGCUUUAAAAAAACUCGCUUAAAUACUUUUCAUUAUACAUUUAUUACUAAUCAUGAUAUAGAUACUUACUAAAGUUUUCGCAAAGUAUAAUAAACAAACCAAUUGAACUAUAAGUUCAGAAAUCUUAACAACCUAAAUUUAUAUAUAAAUGAUCUGGCUAUGAAUUGUUAGACAGGCAAAGCAUGAUCAAAUGCAUGACGAAUGAUGACUACAUGGGAGAUCUUAACAAAUGUACAAAUCACAGGCAGAUUUAACCCUGUCCUACCAACCUUCAAGGAGCUAAACUUGGUAAUGCAUAGACUUUUACAAGUCCCACACCCCACAUAGCUUAGAUAUGCACAGUAAGUGUAUCUUAAAAAGAAUAAAAUUUAUAUGGAAUUCAUAGAUAAACUAACUCAAAAUAUUAUAAACUUUUCAAAGCCAAAAUAAAGAUAGAAUCUAUGACCUCUAUAAAGCCUCUUAUAUCUCAGAAACUAAAAAUACAUCAUCCAAGGAGUAGAGGCAGGAACUCCAAUAAAUAGCCCUUUUAAGUUUUUUUUUUUUUAAAACUUUAAUUAUAAAAUGAAAUCUAGUGGUAUGCAUUGCUAACCAGCUAAAGGGAUAUUUAAAAGUAUAAAACAAAAAUUGUGUAUCUACUUCAUAUUUAUGAAUAUUUUAGCCUGAAAUAGGAAUAGAUUUCAUUUUGUUUAUUUUUCUAGAAAUUUUCCCACCUAUUUAUAUGAUUAUGUAUGUGGCGCCACCCCUCACCCAUUGAAAUCUGUAUUGAAAAAUAAAGAAUAUGGUAUAUAAAGACUAUUUCAGCAAAAAUAUUUG